GUGGGGAAUAUUGGACAAUGGGCGCAAGCCUGAUCCAGCAAUGCCGCGUGGGUGGAGAAGGUCUUCGGAUCGUAAAGCCCUUUCGACAGGGACGAUGAUGACGGUACCUGUAGAAGAAGCCCCGGCUAACUUCGUGCCAGCAGCCGCGGUAAUACGAAGGGGGCUAGCGUUACUCGGAAUUACUGGGCGUAAAGGGCGCGUAGGCGGCUCUGUUAGUCAGGCGUGAAAUUCCUGGGCUUAACCUGGGGACUGCGCUUGAUACUGCAGGGCUUGAGGCCGAGAGAGGGUGGUGGAAUUCCCAGUGUAGAGGUGAAAUUCGUAGAUAUUGGGAAGAACACCGGUGGCGAAGGCGACCACCUGGCUCGGUUCUGACGCUGAGGCGCGACAGCGUGGGGAGCAAACAGGAUUAGAAACCCGUGUAGUCC
rnacentral:rRNA from 1 species